GGUCAAGUUAUUAAGGGCUUACGGUGGAUGCCUUGGGACCAAGGGCCGAUGAAGGGCGCGGUAAGGCUGCGAUAAGCCUCGAUGAGCCGUCUAACAGGCAUAGUCGAGGGUUCCCGAAUGGGGAAACCUGUUCCGGUGUUGAGCCGGUUCAUCCCGAUGCAAAUCGGGAGGGUAAGCGGGGGAACUGAAACAUCUAAGUACCCCGAGGAAAAUAAAUCAACCGAGAUUCCCUGAGUAGUGGCGAACGAAAGGGGAAUAGCCCAAACCAGUACGACUUAGUGGCAUGAGGGCCUAUGUCGUAUCGGGGUUGUAGGGAGCACCUUGGGUCACCUCAUUAGACCUGAAGGAGUUACAAAUCUCGUCUCUAGCCGAAGGCGCCUGGGAAGGACCGUCAUAGAGGGUGAAAGCCCCGUAGGCGAAAGAGUCGAGACUCCUGGUGCCCACCCUGAGUACCACGGGGCACGUGAAACCUUGUGGGAAGCUGGGGGGACCACCCUCCAAGGCUAAAUACCCUUGGUCACCGAUAGCGUACCAGUACCGUGAGGGAAAGGUGAAAAGAACCCCUAGCGGGGAGUGAAAUAGAUCUGAAACCGUAAGCCUACAGAAGGUCGUAGCCCUGACUUCGGUCGGGGUGGCGGCGUGCCUAUUGAAGAAUGAUCCGGGGACUUACUGUAUGGAGCGAGGUUAAGGGACUGGAGUCA
rnacentral:rRNA from 1 species